AAAUUCUGGAAUUGGGGUUUACAUUCGGAUCUAGGGGAGUUCUGAUGACGUGGAUUCCAGUGCCUGACUUAUGCCCAAUCCAGCCAUAAUCUUUGGAAGAAUGGAAUGAUUCCUGCGCUUUGGCCCUAGGUCUUGGGGCGGCAGUGACUCACGGCAGCACCCCCUUACCCCCCCGCGCGUCAAGCUGCCGUCUCCGCCCACCCCCAAACAAUCUUCAACAACCAGCCGCAGCUCCUGGCGCUUUGCUGGGGGCUGGAGGGGCUCAUCCCUGCGCUCGUAUCCCAGCCAGCGAAAAUCUUCCUCGACCCUGUCUUCAGGCUUGCCUCGCUCCCCACCCGACCCUUCCGUAGAGCAGUGAAGAUGGAUGCGACAGCCAAACCGAGGACGCAGGAUCCACCAACGACAGCGCUCGGCAGGGACAGCCAAAUGCCCCCGGGCUACCCCGCCAGCAGGGUGCAGAGUCGGACUGCGCCACACCCCCACUCCGAGUUCUACCCUAAUUCAAAGCGUCCGGGGCAAGCUCCGCCCUCUUCCCCGCCUCCGGAGUCCUUGGCCCACCCUUCCGUUCCUGGGACGGACCUGUUCCCUGUCAAUCCUGUUGAGCCUCAGGGUUCCUGGCGCGUGAAAAAAGGCCCAGAGAGAUCGCAGGGACUCUAGAUUACGCACCGCCCUCCACGACACACUGAAGGAACUCCCCAUACUCGAGGCUGGGGAUCCUCAGCCCACACCCCUGACUCAAGACGCGCCAAUAAGGAGUCGGGUCCUGCCUGCGCUCAGCUGCUCCGCUCCUGGGCGGCUGUGUUUGCUACAAGGAAGGGCAGGCAACUCUGGAGUUUGGAAACCGACUUCCAAGCCGCCUACUGGCGUUGGGCAAGGAGCAACGUAGCUGAGUUCGGACUCUAGAAAGCUCCGAAACACACGGAACCCCCUGGUAACGGAUGCGUGCGCUCCUCUCCAGUGUAAGCGCACGCACUGGGCUAGUCACCCAAACCGCUGGAUGCCAACCAGUUUCUAGCGGAUAUUUAAUGCCAGAGUGGAAACUCGGCGCAGUUGUGGGUCGUAGGCUAGAGAGCAAUGAAGUCUUCCAGAAACUGGCGAAGAGGCGGGAGGGAAGAGGAGCGCGCACCAACUCACCAUUCCUGAGCAGAGGCUGAUGACCGCGGUGUGCUGGGACCCGGUAGACUUGGUGUUGACAUGGCCUUUGUAGAAGCAGUGCUUGAGUUCCGCUUCCUCCUCGGAAUAAAACUUUGUCUGAUUCUCCCCGGGCGUCCCGAGAAGGGUGACCGUGAACAUUGGAGCGAUAAAUCCGGAAUGGGCAGAGAGAUUAAAUAGAAAUUGCUGGCCGAAGGCAGAGAGGCGGUAAUGCUCCUGGUCGGAGGUAGAGGCGGAGGAUGAGGAGGCAAAGGCCGGCCAGGGGUCAGAGGCAGAGUUAAUGCUCCGUCGCCUUCUUUUGAAGUGCACGUUCGUGGAAACGGGUUCUCCGAGAGCGUUCACUCGGAUGGGAGAGGCGAUUUCGUAUUCGCUCAGGGUCUCUAAUAAUUUCACUGCAGGGAGAACCAGAGACACAUGAAGCAGUAACUCAAUUUUCUGCAGACCAAUUUCUCUCAAGUUUUAAUUUAAAAAAGGGGGGGGGGCUUUGUCCCGGGUUAUUUUCCAGCAGUUAUUUUUUGCCCGUUUGAGUCAAUUGCCUUCACCCUCAGCCAGUGCACCGAUAUUUGCGGAGGACCUACUAUGUGCCAGGAAUAGCCAGGAACUGUUCUAGAAGCUGAGGAUACACGAUUCAGAAUCUGACAAUGAACAAGUCAAAAUACAUAAGAUAAAUUUCAUAUUCUGACAAAUAAUCUGAAUAAAAUAAAACAAGUCACUGUGUGCUACCCUCA